rnacentral:rRNA from 1 species
GACGAACGCUGGCGGCGUGCCUAAUACAUGCAAGUAGAACGCUGAAGAGAGGAGCUUGCUCUUCUUGGAUGAGUUGCGAACGGGUGAGUAACGCGUAGGUAACCUGCCUUGUAGCGGGGGAUAACUAUUGGAAACGAUAGCUAAUACUGCAUAACACUGGAUGACACAUGUCAUUUAUUUGAAAGGGGCAAUUGCCCCACUACAAGAUGGACCUGCGUUGUAUUAGCUAGUAGGUGAGGUAAUGGCUCACCUAGGCGACGAUACAUAGCCGACCUGAGGGGGUGGUCGGCCACACUGGGACUGGGGCACGGGCCAGGCUCCUACGGGAAGCAGCAGUAGGGAAACUUCGGCAAUGGGGGGAACCCUGACCGAACAACGCCGCGUGAGUGAAGAAGGUUUUCGGAUCGUAAAGCUCUGUUGUAAGUCAAGGACAAGUGUGAGGGUGGAAAGUUCACGCUGUGACGGUAGCUUACGAGAAAGGGACGGCUAACUACGUG